UACGAAGGGGGCUAGCGUUGCUCGGAAUCACUGGGCGUAAAGCGCACAUAGGCGGAUUUCUAAGUCAGGGGUGAAAUCCUGGAGCUCAACUCCAGAACUGCCUUUGAUACUGGGAAUCUUCGAGUCCGGGAGAGGUGAGUGGAACUGCGAGUGUAGAGGUGAAAUUCGUAGAUAUUCGCAAGAACACCAGUGGCGAAGGCGGCUCACUGGCCCGGUACUGACGCUGAGGUGCGAAAGCGUGGGGAGCAAACAGG
rnacentral:rRNA from 1 species